AUUGAACGCUGGCGGCAUGCUUUACACAUGCAAGUCGAACGGCAACGAGGAGAAGCUUGCUUCUCUGUCGGCGAGUGGCGAACGGGUGAGUAUAGCAUCGGAACGUGCCAAGUAGUGGGGGAUAACCAAACGAAAGUUUGGCUAAUACCGCGUAAGCUCCAAGGAGGAAAGUAGGGGACCUAAAUAAGGCCUUACGCUAUUUGAUCGGCCGAUGUCGGAUUAGCUAGUUGGUGGGGUAAUGGCUCACCAAGGCAAUGAUCCGUAGCGGGUCUGAAAGGACGAUCCGCCACACUGGGACUGAGACACGGCCCAGACUCCUACGGGAGGCAGCAGUGGGGAAUUUUGGACAAUGGGGGAAACCCUGAUCCAGCCAUGCCGCGUGUAUGAAGAAGGCCUUAGGGUUGUAAAGUACUUUUGUUAGGGAAGAAAAGCUAGUUUUUAAUAAAAAUUAGUGAUGACGGUACCUAAAGAAUAAGCACCGGCUAACUACGUG
rnacentral:rRNA from 1 species